GGAGAUGUAUAGCAAUUGCUAUUUGCACUAAUAAUUUUUAGUGUGAAAUCGACUAUGUCGAAUAAAAUUCUGGGUAGAAUUAUGAUAAUGACAUUAGCUAUUCAUAAGUCUUGACCAAAUUACGUGCCAGCAGUCGCGGCAAUACGUAGAAGACAAGUGUUAUUCAUCUUUAAUAGGUUUAAAUGGUACUUAGACAGUAAAUAAAGCCUUAAAAAGGGGACUAGUUUGCUAGAGUUUUAUGUGAAGGGGUUUUAAAGUACUGCUGGUGUAGAGAUGAAAUUCAGUUAUACCUUAAAUGGCACAGGUUAAGGCGAAGGCAUCUUCUUAUGUAAAAACUGACGUUGAAGGACGAAGGCUUUGUGUCUCGAACAGGAUUAGAUACCCUAGUAGUCUAAGCAGAAAAUGAUGAAUGUCAUAGAUUAGAUAUAAUUUGAUCUAUAAAUGAAAGUGUAAGCAUUCCACCUCAAGAGUAAUUUGGCAACAUUGGAACUGAAAUCAUUAGACCGUUUCUGAAACCAGUAGUGAUGUAUGUUGUUUAAUUUGAUAAUCCGCAAAAAACCUUACCACAACUUGAAUAGAUAUAUUUUAUCAUACAAGCGCUGCACGGCUGUCUUUAGUUAAUGUCGUGAGACUUUGGUUAGUUCCAUAAAAUUAACGUAAACCCUUACUUUAUUUUUAUAUAAAGUAGUUCACCGCUAUAUUGGAUGUGAUAAUAGGNAUCAAGACAAGUCAUCAUGNUCUAAUAUGU
rnacentral:rRNA from 1 species